rnacentral:rRNA from 1 species
GAUGAACGCUGGCGGCGUGCCUAAUACAUGCAAGUCGAGCGAACAGACGAGGAGCUUGCUCCUCUGACGUUAGCGGCGGACGGGUGAGUAACACGUGGAUAACCUACCUAUAAGACUGGGAUAACUUCGGGAAACCGGAGCUAAUACCGGAUAAUAUAUUGAACCGCAUGGUUCAAUAGUGAAAGACGGUUUUGCUGUCACUUAUAGAUGGAUCCGCGCCGCAUUAGCUAGUUGGUAAGGUAACGGCUUACCAAGGCAACGAUGCGUAGCCGACCUGAGAGGGUGAUCGGCCACACUGGAACUGAGACACGGUCCAGACUCCUACGUGAGGCAGCAGUAGGGAAUCUUCCGCAAAGGGCGAAAGCCUGACGGAGCAACGCCGCGUGAGUGAUGAAGGUCUUCGGAUCGUAAAACUCUGUUAUUAGGGAAGAACAAAUGUGUAAGUAACUAUGCACGUCUUGACGGUACCUAAUCAGAAAGCCACGGCUAACUACGUG